UCCCCUAGUAACUGCGAGUGAAGAGGGAUAAGCUCAAAUUUUAAAUCUGAUGGGGUCUACUUAUCAGAAUUGUAAUUUGAAGAAACGUUUUCUGUGUCUUGUUAACCUAAAUCUUUUGGAACAAGGUAUCAUGGAGGGUAACAAUCCCGUUCAUGGUUAACAUCAAGAUACGUUACGAUACGUUUUCUAAGAGUCGAGUUGUUUGGGAUUGCAGCUCAAAAUGGGAGGUAAAUUUCUCCUAAGGCUAAAUAUUGGCGAGAGACCGAUAGCGAACAAGUACCGUGAGGGAAAGAUGAAAAGAACUUUGAAAAGAGAGUUAAACAGUACGUGAAAUUGUUGAAAGGGAAACGAUUGAAGUCAGUCGUACUAACGGGAAAUCAACCUAUUUGAGUUGUGAAUUUUGGAUUUUGAAGAGUGUAAACCUUCGGGUUCAAAUAUUCGCGCUUUUUGGGCGUAAUUUCUCGUUCGGUAGGUUAACAUCGAUUUUGAAUAUUAUAAAAUGACUGGAGGAAUGUAGCUUCGAUUUCGUAUUGAAGUGUUAUAGCCUUUGGUAGAUGUAAUGAUCAAGAUCGAGGAUUGCAACGAAUACCCU
rnacentral:rRNA from 1 species